ensembl:snoRNA
UGGAGGACUGAGAAGGUUGAACAGCUUGUGUGGUGCUGUUAUAACUGGUUAUAACCUCCAAGAGUAACACACAAACCACACUGUUAUAUCUCCCUGUUCUAAGCAGAGUAGAUAGAUGUGUUUGUGGCACAUUUU